rnacentral:rRNA from 1 species
GAGUUUGAUCGUGGCUCAGGAUGAACGCUGGCGGCGUGCCUAAUACAUGCAAGUCGAGCGAACAGACGAGGAGCUUGCUCCUCUGACGUUAGCGGCGGACGGGUGAGUAACACGUGGAUAACCUACCUAUAAGACUGGGAUAACUUCGGGAACCGGAGCUAAUACCGGAUAAUAUAUUGAACCGCAUGGUUCAAUAGUGAAAGACGGUUUUGCUGUCACUUAUAGAUGGAUCCGCGCCGCAUUAGCUAGUUGGUAAGGUAACGGCUUACCAAGGCACGAUGCGUAGCCGACCUGAGAGGGUGAUCGGCCACACUGGAACUGAGACACGGUCCAGGCUCCUACGGGAGGCA